CGCAGCCGCGGUAAUUCCAGCUCCAAUAGCGUAUAUUAAAGUUGUUGCAGUUAAAAAGCUCGUAGUUGAAUUUCGGGAUCAAUUAGUCGGUCGUGCCUCUGGUACGUACUGGUUUUAUUGGUUCCUCCCUUCUGACGAAACAUGAUGUCAUUAAUUUGGUGUCGUGGAGAAUCAGGACUGUUACCUUGAAAAAAUUAGAGUGUUUAUAGCAGGCUAACGCUUGAAUACAUUAGCAUGGAAUAAUGAAAUAGGACGUUCGACCCUAUUUUGUUGGUUUCUAGGAUCGACGUAAUGAUUAAUAGGGAUAGUUGGGGGCAUUAGUAUUCAAUUGUCAGAGGUGAAAUUCUUGGAUUUAUUGAAGACUAACUACUGCGAAAGCAUUUGCCAAGGAUGUUUUCAUUAAUCAAGAACGAAAGUUAGGGGAUCGAAGACGAUCAGAUACCGUCGUAGUCUUAACCAUAAACUAUGCCGACUAGGGAUCGGAUGAUGUUAAUUUUUUG
rnacentral:misc_RNA from 1 species